CAUCCUGGGAUUUAUCAACAGCAAAACUUGCCUCGGAGAAGAAAUGGAACACAUGACCACAGCACUGUACACGGAAGUGGAAUACACCGAGUGAGACGGGGCUUAAAGUUUUACAUAUGUUUCAUUUCUUGUCUCUUCCUGACAAACAUACUGUCUUGUACAACAAAUAAAAUAAAAAAA